CGUGGCGCUCGCCGUCGACGAGCACGCUCACCUCGCGGGCGAACGGGCGCAGCGCCCGGAAGGCGACGCCGCCGGGGACCGGGUGGGCGCCGAGCAGGGCGUGCGGGUCGUGGUGGGCGCCCGCCAGCAGGCGCCCCCGGUCGGUCGGGUCGAGGGGCGGGGCGGUUCCGCACGCACCGGGGGCGGGCGGGACGGGACCGGACGGCUCGGGGAGCGAGGUGUCGCGGAGGGCCACGGGUCAGUCUCCUCUCACGGCGAGUCGUUCGAUCGCCGCCAUGGGUACGGGAAGCCAGUCGGGGCGGUGCCGGGCCUCGUACAGCACCUCAUACACGGCGCGGUCCGUCUCGUAGGCGCGCAGCAGGCCGUGCUUCUUACGGGGGUCCCACCCGGCGCGGGCGGCGUAGCCCGCGCAGAAGGCCUCCCGGCAGCGGCGCGCCCACUCGGGACGCCACGGGCGGCGCUGCCGGGCGGCGUAGUCGAAGGAGCGCAGCAUGCCCGCGAUGUCGCGGACGGGGGAGUGGGCGCUGCGCCGUUCGGACAGCGGGCGCGACGGCUCACCCUCGAAGUCGAUGACGAACCAGUCCCGGCCGGCCCGCAGCACCUGCCCCAGGUGCAGGUCGCCGUGGAUGCGCUGGGCGGGCGGCCCCGAGUCGCAGGUGGACAGUGCCGCGAAGGCCGCCCGCAGCCCGGGGACGAAGGGCUGCAGCGCGGGUACGCAGUGCGCGGCGGCGGUCAGCCGCUCGGUCAUCGCCGCCGCCGUGCGGCCGUUCUCCCCCGGGGCCCGGGACGGGAAGGCGUCGGCGAGCGCCAGGUGGACGUCCGCCAUGGCCUGCCCGAGCUCGUGGGCCUGCAGGGUGAAGUCGUCCCCGGAGGCCAGCGCGUUCAGGGACAGGGUCCAACCGUCGGUGGCGUCGUCGAGGAACGGCUGGAGCACACCGAGGGUCGCCUCGUACGGAUAGGUGGUCCGCAUCCACGCCACCGGCGCGGGGACCCGGCCGCAGCCCUGCCGGGCCAGCGCGUCCGGCACCUCCAGGUCCGGAUUGACACCGGGCUGGAUGCGCCGGAACAGCUUGAGGAUGAACUCGUCCCCGUAGAUCAGCGACGAGUUGGACUGCUCGGCGUCCAGCAGCCGCGGCGCGAGCCCCCCGGGCACCGGCCGCGAGGGGUUGGCCUCGAAGCGCAGGGGGCCCGCCUUGCCGGGGUGCCUGAGGCGUUCCAGGAGCAGCUGGGCCGUCCGGGGGUCGUGCAGGGCGUCGUAGACCGUCCGUCCGGCCAGCGGGCCGUCCUGCACCUGCCCGAUGACGGCCCGGCCCAGGCGCGGAGACAUGUGUUCGCGCACGCCGAGCAGCAGCUGGUAGCAGUCGCCGGCCGGGGGAGCGCCGCCCGGGGCGGGCACGGGGCCGUGCCCGGUGUGCACCAGGAGGUGCAGACAGCCCGGGAAGAGCUCGGUCAUGGACAGCAGGCCGAGCUCGGCCACGGGCCGGUCCUUGCCCGCGAACCAGCGCUGGCGCGGCAGCCACUCGCGCAGCAGC
rnacentral:rRNA from 1 species